rnacentral:rRNA from 1 species
GAUGAACGCUGGCGGCGUGCCUAAUACAUGCAAGUCGAGCGAACGGACGAGAAGCUUGCUUCUCUGAUGUUAGCGGCGGACGGGUGAGUAACACGUGGAUAACCUACCUAUAAGACUGGGAUAACUUCGGGAAACCGGAGCUAAUACCGGAUAAUAUUUUGAACCGCAUGGUUCAAAAGUGGAAGACGGUCUUGCUGUCACUUAAAGAUGGAUCCGCGCUGCAUUAGCUAGUUGGUAAGGUAACGGCUUACCAAGGCAACGAUGCAUAGCCGACCUGAGAGGGUGAUCGGCCACACUGGAACUGAGACACGGUCCAGACUCCUACGGGAGGCAGCAGUAGGGAAUCUUCCGCAAUGGGCGAAAGCCUGACGGAGCAACGCCGCGUGAGUGAUGAAGGUCUUCGGAUCGUAAAACUCUGUUAUUAGGGAAGAACAUAUGUGUAAGUAACUGUGCACAUCUUGACGGUACCUAAUCAGAAAGCCACGGCUAACUACGUG